AAGUGUUAUCUUUAUUAGUUAACAGUUAACAAAUGUUUACUGACAAAAAACAUAUGCCUGCAAAACCCGACCGCCAAACAAACAAAACCAGUAAUUGGUUCCCUUAUCGUCCCUAUGAACAACAAAAUACUCCAUGUUUUGUAAAACCUCCCUUAUCGCUCUCUUCCACAUGCACAUCACAUCGGACCCGUUAUGCACGCAUUGAUUGGGUGUAGAUGAAUGCAUGCCCGAGGUUUGGCAGAGUCAACCCUUUGAUCUCGAUAUUUUCGUCGGAACCAGUAUCCUUUUCGAAGUUGGUUAGACAGGCUACGAAAGAAAUUAUCUCGGGAGACCUUACAUCUAGCUAUGGUCAUUUGUUGGAAACCGUGGGACUUAAGGAACCGUGAAGCUCAUGGGCAAAAGGGUUUGCGAGAUGCGAGUUGAGAAGUUGGAGAUAGUACCUUAAUAUCUUUCGGAUGGCAUGCUUUGAGCCGACUAUAUAUUUUCAAAUGCCCCGUUCCGCAGGCGAAGUGGACCCCGCCUGCGAAUGGGAUAGUGAAGAUUAAUUUGAUGCCGCAUUACAGAAUCUCCACCGUGGCCCGAAAUUCCAAGGGAACAUAUCUGGUGGACUGUUGGAACAAUCCCUGGACAUACACUGCAAGGAGUUGAAGGUGGCGAAGCUCAUGCCGCUCUCGAGAAUGCCCGAGUAAACUAAAGGGCUGGCAGUCGAUUAUCAUAGAAGAUGAUUGUUGUCGUCAACUUAUUACGGCGCUGUACGGAGACGACUCUUCCUUCUGCCCUUUUGGGGCUUACUUGGAUGACAUUCGUAAUCAUGCUUUAUCUUUUGUUUCUUGUCGGUUUUUAUUUGUUUCACCUAUUUUUAAUAAGCUAGCUCAUGGCCUGGCUUCAUCCAAGUAAGGUGCCUAAUUAAAUCUCUUUUAAUCUCAAAAAUAAAAAAAUAGACACAACUUUCCAAAUACAAGGAGUUAAGUAAGAAAAAAUAAGAAUAGAUAGGGUAAAGUGAUACGGCCAAAAAGUACAAGGGUGAAAUGGUAAAGUUACAAUUUUUACAAUUUAAAGAUAGAUAAUAUUUUCCACCACGUCUUUAAUAGAAGCGUGCGAGAUAACACGCUAUCUAAGAAGUAUAAAACGUAAAAAUUAUGAAAAGUGCAGACCUUAUUUCUAGGGUUGUGCUUCGUUCACUCUUAAGCGCAGAAGGAUGAAUAGCAAUCCGACAACGGCGGCGACGAUGGCUGGUGCGGCGGCGCAGCUGCAAGAGGGAAUUAAUUUCUUGCUUUCAUGGUGGACUGCGCUUCGUCUUCUCACUCAGUCCAAAGGUAUGUUUCUUUCUUCUAGGUUAAACUUCUGAAUAAACUUUUGAAUGCAAAUUAUUAUAGCUGUAAUUUUAUCUUUACCGCUAGCUUUAAUUUUGUGGAAUUGGGGUAUUAUGAUUUGAAUUUUGGUGUAUUGCGAAUAUUUCGGACGGGGGAGAGUUUUUGCAAGCCUAAUUGGAUUUAAUGUGCCCUAAUUAAUAAUAAAAUUGAGAUUAGACUUUGUUUUUUUUUUCCUCCAUUUUUUGCUGUAAGCAGAGUGAAUUGAUGUUCAAUUUGUUGUUUGAUUUUGGGGAUAAGAGGAAGUAUCUAUUUGCCAUGGGGACGAUAUGCUUUACGAUUUCAUGGAUACUCUCAAUACUGAUGUAGACGGUGGCAGCAUCGAAGAGGUACUUCUAAUUCCUCGUUAUUUAUUCAACUUCAGCUUGUCGGUACGUUUUCAUUUGCAUGCUUACUUAUUACAAGCUACUAGAUUCAAUGAUUUCAAUAUUUAUAAUACUUUGAGGCUAAUGAGUCGAACUUAGAACGAAAGCAGGGGUAGCUAGUUUGAUCUGGAAUUAUGUGAUUCUCUUCGGUCUGCCAUAGACUUUGUUUCGUUUAUUGUGAGAUCGAGUUAUUUCAAAAUAUAGGCUCUGUUUGGAUCAUCGAUAAAAGUCCCGUCUGCACUUACUGGCCGUAUUGACUUUCUACUCUCGUUUUUUUUUUCUAUAUUUUCUUACACGAAUUUUAUUCAGAUAUCAGAUAAAUUGAUGGUAAUGCGUGAAGAAUGUUCAGAAGGUAACUUUGAUUCGAUAAGUGAUUUGCGAGAAACAAAUACUCUUAAUAUGUCUUAUGUCAGACAGGUAACAUCGGUUAACUCUUCGUACUUGAAACUUUUUUUUUAAAUGAAAUGUUCGAGUCUUAUGUGUGUAUUUAGCCAGUUCUGCGGCAUUCAUUUCUACCCUGCCAAUUAAUUUAAUUGAAGAUCCUUAGAAUGUGUUGUCUGUAUUAGUUAACAGUUAACAAAUGUUUACCGACGAAGAAAAGAUAUGCCUGCAAAACCCGACCGCCAAACAAACAAAACUAGUAAUUGGUUCCCUCAUCGUCCCUAUGAACAACUAAUACUACCUGUUUUGUAGAACCUCCUAUUUAUUAUUUAUUUUUUCAGAUAGACGUGUCCAAAAGAAUGAUUUUGCAUUAUUUACCCAAAGAAAAAUAAAUGUUUUGUCAAUUUCUCUUUCAUUUGUGAAAACCAAUUUAAUCUAUAAUACGGAAGCAUCCAAAUCCAUUUGUGGCCAUAAUUGCAAUUUUCAUCGUGUCCUGGAAUUAAAUUUUAUUAUAUACUUGUUUCGCUUUUUUUUUUUUUUAAUUCCUGUAAUUUUGUAUUGGGGAAUCAAUGACGAGGAAGAAAGUGAAGAUGAUACAUUGAGAGACGAUAACUCGUCUGAAUUGAAAGUAGAUGCUCCACAAUCACAAUCAAUUCAUAGUCAAAAGGACUCGGUUAUCCAGCACAUAGACACGAGAGGAACACCUGAAGUUGUCUAUGAAUGGAAGGUAGUAUGCUCCAAGCAUAGUAAAAGUAGAAAAAAAUUGAAGUAACAACUUAUCAACUCUUAAAACAACUUAUUAAAAUCUUAUCAACUGUUUAAAAUAAGCACAUCCAAAAUGGCCCUUAUGAAUUGUGCCUUGUGGUGGUCCAUUGUUUCAAGUUAGGGUGGGACUUAUUAAUACAAUUUUUGUUUAGAGAACUUACUUUAAUACUUUUCAACUGAUUGUUAUACAACAUGCAUCAUUUCAUCUAUUACCAAAAUUAUAAAUAAAAUUUAAAAUGGGUCAAUGAUUAUUAAUUAAUUCAACCAAAUCGGUUGAAAGGACCACGUCAAUAUAAGUUGCAAUAUUGUUUUUUUUUUAGUAAAAUCAAGUCCAUUACAAGGGGAAGUAGGAGAAGGGGGGACUCGAACCCUAGACCGAUUACCCUAUUGGUAAGGCUAGGUACCAACUCUCCUAAUGAGGGUUGGUGAGUUGCAAUAUUGUUCUAGUACGCUACUUUUGGAAUUUCAAUCAAUUCAUGCAUGUGACAUGCCUCCUUCCCCACACAUAUGGAUCUAACUGCUUUUCUAUUUGACAAGAUGCCAUAACUUUGAAAAUUAAUUAAUAUGUAAAGUUGUCAUCUUGAAUUAAUAAAACAAGUUUAAUUUCCAGAACCAGCUUAUUAAUUAGGGAUAAUUAGUGAAAACCCCCCAAUUCAUUUACUUAUAUUAGGGUGGAUAUAAUCUCUUUUUCAUUAUUAGUGAGAACCCCCUACCUUAUAUUAAAUAAUUUAUUUUUUAAUUAAUAUUGUAUUUAACAUUACUAAUAUACCUAAUAUGUCCUUCUGUGUUAUAUUUAAAAUAACCAAACCUAUUUUACGUUCUUUUUAUUUCUCUUAUUUCCCUCUCCCUUUUCUCUCUAUAAACCGCCGCCUCCAACCCUCCCCAUCUCUGCGUUGCUGAUGCCGCCAUCUCCAACCAUCUUCCGUCUCUGUGUCGUCGUCUACUCUCUCCCAUCGGUGUUCCUCCCUCCACCGCCGCGAAAAGAAGGUGGUCUCCACCCCUGAAAUUCUCUCGUCAUGGACGGCAUUAGGGUUUUCGGUAGACGAGACUACGCAGCGGCGCUAGGGUUGAUAUUGCGUUUGAGAUUUCAAUAGAGACCACCGCUAAUAUUAUUUGAUUGUUGUGGUUCUUCUUCUUCUCUGAUUUUUUACCCAAUUCUCGAAUCUCAUUUUUCUUAGUUGGAGAUUUUGGUUGAAUUCUUAUAUUGAAGGCUAAUUUUGUGUUCAAUCAAUAGUAUAAUGGAUGUUUGUUUGUUGUUGAAAUUGUGUUGGUGCUAUUUACAGACAUAUAGUUGUUUUCGUACAACAAUAUAGUUGUUUUCGUACAGUAAUAUAGUUGUUUUCGUACAACAAUAUAGUUGUUUUCGUACAGUAAUAUAGUUGUUUUCGUACAACAAUAUAGUUGUUUUCGUAUAACAAUAUAGUUGUUUUUACUACGUUUUAGUUGAUGUUAAUAAAUAGUUCAUUUAACAAAUAGAAUAGUUGAUUUUGAUAAAUGAGAGUUGUUGGAGAUAUAUAAUUGUUUUAAUAACAGUUGUUUAAUAUAGUUGUUUUUAACAUUAGUCGUUUUAAUAAUAGUUGUUUUAUUGAAAUAUAGUUGUUUUAGCUGAAGACAAAAAAAAUACUAAAAAUAUUUUUUUUUUUAAAUAUAAUAAAAAGUUAUAAAAAAUAUUUGUUUUUAAAUAUUAUUUUUUAAAUAAGAAAUAAAUAAAUAAACGAAAAUUAAAAUUAAAAUAUAAAAAAAUAAAAAGUGCAUCUAAGUAUGGUAUAAUAGGUAGUAAAUAGAGGAAGGGUAAAUUUGAGAAUAAAAAAAAGAUGGGUCUCUCAUUAAUAAAGGAAAAGGAGCUGGGUCCAUGCUUAUUAAAAUAAUGCUUGAGGGGUUCUCACUAAUAGUCCCUAUUAAUUAAGGAGCUAGCCUAUUUGGUUAUUUUAAUUUCAAGAUAAUUUCUAUUCUAAGAACUCAUAUUAUUUUUCAGCGUGUCAUGCACGUGGUUAAAUGACAUCAACCAUACGUUAUUUAAAAUUCUAAUAGCGAAUUACAUAAUACAUGGGUUUUGGAAGUUUGACAAUCAAUUUAUAUAAAAGAAAUAGAUACUGUUUUACAUGGCCCUAAUCUAAUAAAUUAGAUUAAUAAGUCUAUGAUAAUAAACGUAUUAAAAGAAAAAAAAAAAAAAAAAACUAAACAAGAGGUCGACUUUGUAAUCACCAGCUCCACUCAACAGAAAUCGUAAACUAAUGCAAUAUUACUAUACUAACAGUAAUAUUACCGUCAACCACAGUAAUAUUAUUGUGUUACAGUAAUAUAACAGUAAUAGACAGUAAUGUUAUUAUGUUACUCCGUGAAUAACUCAAACAAAACAAAAAACUCAUAAAAUAAUAAUAUUGAUGUUGUUGACAGUAAUAUUAUUGUGUUUACAGUUAUUUUACUGUCAACGAUAGUAAUAUAAUUACGUUGAUUUGUCAACAAAUUACAUAAAUGUAUUGUCAACGGCAGAACAAUUACAUAAAUGUAUUGCAUUGUCAACAACAAUACAAUUACGUUAAUUAACUAUCAUUGACAGUAUAAUUACGUUAAUUUACUGUCAGUGACAGCAAAAUAACGGUCAACGUUUAGCGGCGGACGUAAAAAAAAAAAACAAAAAAAAAACACUAAAAAAAAUCAACACCGGAAUCAAGCGGCGGAAAUAAGAAAAAAAAAAUCGAAAAGUCAACACCGGAAUCCGUCAGCAAAAAAAAAAAUUGGAAAAAAAAAGUCAAAAUUGGAUUUUUGUGGAAAAAAUUGAUUAAAUGGGGGUUACAAUUAGGGACUAUUAGUGAGAACCCCCUCUAUCUUUAUUUUAAUAAGGAUGGAUCCAGCUCAUUUUCUUUAUUAGUGAGAGACCCAUCCUUUUUUUAUUCUCAAAUUUACCCUUCCUCUAUUCACUACCUAUUAUACACUACUUUGAUACACUUUUAUUUUUUUUAUUAUUUUGUAUUUUAAUUUUAAUUUUCGUUUUUUAAUUUAUUUCUUAUUUUAAAAAAGAUAUAUUUUAAAAAAAUAUUUUUUUAAUUUUUUUAUUAUAUUUUUAAAAAAUAUUUGUUUCUAUUUUUUUUUGUCUUCACUUAAAACAACUAUAUUUCAAUAAAACAACUAUUAUUAAAACAACUGUUAUUAAAACAAUAUGAUUAAAACAACUAUAUAUCUCCAACAACUCUCAUUUAUAAAAAUCAACUAUUUGUUAAAUCAACUAUUACAUUCAAUUAAAAAGUAAUAAAAACGACUAUAUUGCUGACGAAAACAACUAUAUUGUUGUACGAAAACAACUAUAUUGUUGUACGAAAACAACUAUAUUGCUGACGAAAACAACUAUAUUGUUGUACGAAAACAAUAUAUUGUUGUACGAAAACAACUAUAUUGAUGUACGAAAACAACUAUAUUGUUGUGCGAAAAUCUCUAUAAAUCUGUAAAUAACACCACACAAUUUCAACAAAAACAAAACCUACAUUGUACUAUUGAUUGAACACAAAAUUAGCCUUUUAUAUAAGAAUUCAACCAAAAACUCCAAUUAAGAAAAUUAUGAUUCAAGAAUUGGAUUCCAAAAAAUAAAAAAAUCAGAGAAGAAGAAGAAGAACAACAACAAUGAAACAAUGUGGCAGUGGUCUGUAUUGAAAUCUCAGACGCAAUAUCAACCCUAGCGCCGCUGUAUAAUCUCGUCUUUCUCCCUAGCGAAAACCCUAACGUCGUCCUUGACGAGAGAAUCCCAGGGGUGAAGACCGUCUUCUUUUCGCGUCGGUGGAGGGAGGAACGCCGUUGGGAGAAGAGAGUAACGAUGGCGGCGCAGAGAUGGAAGAGGGUUGGAGGCGGUGGCAGAACACAGAUGGAAGAGAGUUGGAGGCGGCGAUAUGUAGAGAGAAAAGAGAGAAGAAUAAGAGAAAUAGAGAACGUGAAAUAGGUUUAAUUAUUUUAGAUAUAAUAGGGCAAAUUAGGUACAUUAGUAAUAUCUAAAAUAAUAUUAAUUAAAAAAAUAUUAUUUAAUAUAAGGUGGGGGGUUUUCACUAAUAAUGAAAAUGAGGUUAUAUCCACCUUAAUAUAAGUAAAUGAAUCGGGGGUUUUCACUAAUUAUCUCUUACAAUUAAGAAUUUGGUAUAAAGAGUUGGGGGUAAUAUUGUCAUAUACAUGAAUGUUUCCUUUAUUUAUAAUAAAUAUUAAAGGGAUAAGCUUAUUGGUGAAAGAAAUAUAACCCCUAAACUUAGAAUAAUAAAGAUAUUUGGUUGGGAACUUAUUUUUCUUAUUCGUACAUGUUUCCGUUGCCCCGGGACAUUACUAGGUAUUUUGCUUGCGUUUAAUCUUUCCCGAUUCGAAAUCACAAUCUAUUUAUUAGCUAAAUAUUAAAGCGAUAAACUUAUUAGUGAAAGAAAUAUAUAACCCCUAAACUUAGAAUAAUAAAGAUAUUUGAUUGGGAACUUAUGAACAAAAACCCCUCAAAAAAUUACCCAAUUCGACAUUGAAUCGUAGAAUCAAAUCUAAGAGAUUCGAAUUUGACUAGUCAGUCUCUUUCCAUGUUCAGACAUUCUCGUUUAUCUUAAUAUAAGAUAUUUAUAAAUUUGAUUUCUUUUUUUAAUUUAAAUUUUAUUUUAUUUAUAACCUUAAUGGUGUGGUAAUGUGGUUCCAAAUUUAAUGCCAGAUUCCAGUUUUUGGGGGCCGAAGCCGACCUGACCUGCGGGGACGCGGGUCCUGGAUGGGGCGGAUCUUGAUGGGUUCGGUCCGGGCCAUUACCGGGGUCAGAAUCGGGCUUUUAAUUUAGGGAUUAUUUGAGAAAACCGCUUCAUAUGCCUUUUAUAGUUAGUGUAGGCCCAAAAAAAUUUCUCCUUUUUGAGAUAAAUCCAAAGUUUUAUUUAUCAGCCUUUUUAAUUACGAUUUCUCUAGAAUACCCUUAUGUAUUACCUUGUAUAAAUUUAUGUUUUACUUUUUUUAUUUGACAAAAACCAAUUAUUUAAUAUUAAAUUAAAUUAUAAUAAUUCAAUUACACCCUAACCCUAUCACACGAUAUCCAUCUUUUUUAGUUUUCAUUUCUUCUUCUCUAUUCACGGCUCCACCUUCUUUCUUUUCUCCACCGAGGCCUUUUUCUCUUCUCUCUACCAUCGUUGUGAUAUAGGCAAAAUCUCGUUUCAUUAUGAUAAGUUUUAUCGAUCUCGAUUCAUCGCCGAUGGCAUAUUCAGUCGAAACCCUGCAUUUUCAGUCGAUUCAUCCGGUGUUAACCAACCCUUUUUGCCUCCAUCCCUUGUUCGAAGCUCGGUAAGUUCCAUUUACUCGUAUUUUGAUCAGUAUUCACAAAUCACAGUUUCAAUGGCGGCAUCAUGUUAUUAACUCCUGAUCAUUGUCUGUGUUUUUCCCCCUUUUUUUCUUUUGAUUCAUGGAACUCGGAGUCUAAAAGAUUUGAUUUUUUUGGUUGUAUUCGGAAUUGCUUGAUGACGUCAUUUUAGCUAAUUAAUUCUUAGAAUUAGAUCAGGGCUUCCUUAUUAUAAUAAGAGUCUGCAAAGAGUAAAACUCAAUGCCAUUUGUUUGCUUUUGUUGGUAAUGUUUUCCCCUAAUUUAGUCACAGUAAUUCGUACCUUAGAACUUAGUUUUUCGAAUGUGUUUUAUGGAUGCAUCCUAAUAUCAGUUCUUGGGAGGUUUGGGACAAUGCUGCAGUUUAAUUGGUUCAAAGACGACGGAUUCUAUUCAAUAAAAGUUGUAAAAUCGGGCAUAGAUUUUAUAGUGGAACUUCUUACCUCAGUUAUUCCGGAAAGAUGCCUAUUCGUAAAAGAGGAAUGGUAUAUUCAGUGGCGUUGAAUAUUCGAUGAUUUCCUUUAUAUAUGCUUUCAUUUGUUU
rnacentral:lncRNA from 1 species